rnacentral:rRNA from 1 species
AUCAACUUUCGAUGGUAGGAUAGAGGCCUACCAUGGUGGUGACGGGUGACGGAGAAUUAGGGUUCGAUUCCGGAGAGGGAGCCUGAGAAACGGCUACCACAUCCAAGGAAGGCAGUAGGCGCGCAAAUUACCCAAUCCGACACGGGGAGGUAGUGACAAGAAAUAACAAACCAGGGCUCUUACGAGUCUUGUUAUUGGAAUGAGUACGAUUUAAAUCUCCUAACGAGGAACAAUUGGAGGGCAAGUCUGGUGCCAGCAGCCGCGGUAAUUCCAGCUCCAAUAGCGUAUAUUAAAGUUGUUGCAGUUAAAAAGCUCGUAGUUGAACUUCAGGCCUGUCCAGAUGGUCCGCCUUAAUUGGUGUGUACUGUCCUUGGGUGGGUCCUACCUUCUGGCGAAGCGGCAUGGCCUUAAUUGGUUGUGUUGGGGAACCAGGACUUUUACUGUGAAAAAAUUAGAGUGUUCAAAGCAGGCAUAUAUGCUCGAAUACAUUAGCAUGGAAUAAUGGAAUAGGACGAUGGUUCUAUUUUGUUGGUUCUAGGACCGUUGUAAUGAUUAAUAGGGAUAGUUGGGGGCAUUAGUAUUCAAUUUGUCCNAGGA